CAGUACCACGGUAAUGCGUAGGGUGCGAGCGUUAAUCGGAAUUACUGGGCGUAAAGCGUGCGCAGGCGGUUGUGUAAGACAGGUGUGAAAUCCCCGGGCUUAACCUGGGAACUGCGCUUGUGACUGCACAGCUAGAGUAUGGCAGAGGGGGGUGGAAUUCCACGUGUAGCAGUGAAAUGCGUAGAGAUGUGGAGGAACACCGAUGGCGAAGGCAGCCCCCUGGGCCAAUACUGACGCUCAUGCACGAAAGCGUGGGGAGCGAACAGGAUUAGAUACCCGAGUAGUCCCUGUCUCUUAUACA
rnacentral:rRNA from 1 species